GGCUAUUGGCUUUAUUGCUUACGAUUGGUACCAUUAUGGAUUUUUCAACUGCUAGUUUCCAGUUCUUUUUCUAUCGUUUAAUUAAUUCGAAGUACUUUCAACAAUCUUAUAGAUGUCAAGUAAAAAAAAAAAAAUUGUAUAGAUAAUAGCUGUGGCAAGUAAAGGAAGCCAGACUUUAAAGGAGGCUGUCCGGAGAAUGUCCUUUGCAUUAUUCACUAAUAACCUCUGUUGAAAAAGUAACUGGUCUGGUAUUACCAAAAAUGACAAUGAAAGUAA